ensembl:lncRNA novel transcript, antisense to ACTG1
GGAGCCUGGGGAGUCCCGGGACCGACGGCGGCGGGGAUGCGGGUCUGCCUGUCCCUGGGAUGCGGGCGGGCGGGCAGGGCGAGGCCUGGAGCCCGCGGGGCGCAGGGGGCUGGACCGCGCGCUGUGAUUUUUCUGUUUAGCAGCGGGGCCUCGCCCAAGGUCGCGCGGGGCCUGUCCUGGAUAUGCUCUGGGAAGCCAGUGGCGCAGGGCAGCCGCCACCCUUCUGGAACCAGUGCCGGAGAGGGCCGGGCAGCUGGGCCUGGGGAGGGGACCGCAUGGAUGGAGCUGGGGGUAGCUGGGCGGCCUCCGGAGCCGGGAGAGUCGGCAGCUGCACUUCCGCCAGAGGUGGGUGUGUCCUUCACAUUUCAGGAAGGGAGACUUGGGGCCUGGAGAAGCGAUGUGAUUUUUCUUUUCUAGUUCAGUGCUGGUUUUGAUGGCUUUUUAUCAUGACCUUGUUAUGUCUUAUUUUAGUUUCGGCCCAUUUAGUGGAUACGACAACAGUGGCCCAGGGAGGUAUGGCAGAGCUGAGGCUUAACCCAGGGCCUGCGCCCUCCACGGCCUGCACUGCCCCACCUCCAGCUCCUUGCCCUGUUCCUCCCUCUGCACCGGAUCAGCCCCCGGACUCUGGGUCACCUCCACACCAGUUGACAGGGCCCCCCAGUCCCCACCGCCAACCACCUGGCCGGCUACUUGUCAGACAGACAUGGGGGCGUGGGCAUGGGUCCCCACCCCUAGCCUUUGCCUCUGUCACUCUACCUGCCUGGAAUGUCUACUUUUUCUUUAUAUUUUAUUUUAUUGUAUUUUUGAGACAGUCUCAUUGUCGCCCAGGCUGGAGCGCAGUGGCGCGAUCUUGGCUCGCUGCAACCUCUGUCUCCGGGGUUCAAGCGAUUCUCGGGCCUUAGCCUCCCGAGUAGCUGAGACUACAGGCGUGCACCACCAUGCCUGGCUAAUUUUUGCAUUUUUGGUGGAGACAGGGUUUCACCAUGUUGGCCAGGCUGGCCUGAACUCCUGACCUUAAGUGAUCCACUCGCCUAGGCCUUCCAAAGUGCUGGGAUUACAGGCGUGAGCCACCUCACCCAGCCUGGAGUGUCUCAUCUUCCACCACUAAAUGAAACGAUGGACCCUGAACAGAAAAAGGAACAGUGGUGGAAGAACUAGCAAAGCCCACAGCCUUGAGUUUGGCCGUAAGUAUCAAGGUUAAUCUCUCAGUUAUGGCAGUUGUCCCAUGACCGUGUAAGAUGCCAGGUUAGGGGACACUGGGAAUAGAGCAUUGGGAAACCUUCCCACUGUCUUUGCAACUUUUCUGUAAGUUUAAAGUUCUCCCAUAAUAAAAAGCUAACUUGAAUCCAAG